rnacentral:rRNA from 1 species
UACAGGGGGGGCAAGCGUUGUUCGGAAUUACUGGGCGUAAAGGGUCUGUAGGUGGCUUGCUAAGUCAGACGUGAAAUCCCUCAGCUUAACUGGGGAACUGCGUCUGAUACUGGCGAGCUUGAGUGCAGGAGAGGAACGCGGAAUUCCAGGUGUAGCGGUGAAAUGCGUAGAUAUCUGGAGGAACACCGGUGGCGAAGGCGGCGUUCUGGACUGCAACUGACACUGAGAGACGAAAGCCAGGGGAGCAAACGGG